AUUUCACUCAUUUCUACCAAACACGCACGCCAUCAGACUCCCCUCCCUACUUCCCCUUCUUCUUCGAUUUCAAAACCACAACCAGACACCCACCUUCACACCUGAAUCCCUCAUUUCACCUGCGACUAGCCGGUGUCGGCGCAACUCAAGCCACCGGUGCCCCUCCUCCGAUGCGACACACCCACCCCCAUACACUCACACCCCUCGGUAAUCAAGAGAGCCGCCGUGUGCGGCGGCGAGACCAGAAAACGGGAGCAGAGAGAGAUAAGACGGAGUCCCGGUGGUCGGAGGCAGUGGUGAGCUUGGUGGUGGACCGGCGGUAGCGCCGCCGCUCACGGCGGCGGCGGCGAAGGCACAGGCGAUGGUGCUUAUGGUGAUAAGGAUGACGAGGAUUUUGACAUAAGCUGUAAUAAUCGUCAAGUUACGGCACGUUUCAUAAAAGUGACGAUGAGGGGGGGGGGUUUGCAUCAGGGUUGACGGAAGUGAUGGUGAUCGCCGGCGGUUUGGUCCGGUUGGAUCAAAUAGUCAGCAACUCAGUUACGAGUCAAAUCCAGCAGGUUCUGGGUGCUUCGGCUUGAGUCACUUUACAGUUUCGGGUGCGGGUCAACUCAGCUCGGUUUGGUUGACUCGGUCAAACCGAGCCAACUCGGUCAACACGGUCAAACCGAGUCAACUCAGUUAACUCGGUCAACUGAGAUUCAGUUCGAGUCAAUCGGUCAGCCACGGUUCGGGUGCGGUUCGACAGGCCAGAUUUUGGUUCGUGACAACUUUGGUCAACUGUGGUCAACACCGGUCAACAUCAGGUCAACUGCGGUCAAAAGCAGUCAACACGUGACCCGGUAACAAGUUUAAGUAGCGAGUUAUUCUUUUACUCGGUUCUAGAUUUUUAGAUUUAUUUAGUUAUACGCGACCGAGCUCGACCCGAUUCAAUUAGAUAUUAGUUGCGUUUUGAUAACAUUUGACGAGAAUAUUUAUUUUGAUAUAUUUUGUUUGCAAUAUUGUUGAGUUUUGAAUGGUUAACGACAAACUUUUAUUG